GAUGAACGCUGGCGGCGUGCUUAACACAUGCAAGUCGAACGGAAAGGCUCCUGCUUGCAGGGGUACUCGAGUGGCGAACGGGUGAGUAACACGUGGGUGAUCUGCCCUGCACUUCGGGAUAAGCCUGGGAAACUGGGUCUAAUACCGGAUAGGACGAUGGUUUGGAUGCCAUUGUGUAAAGUUUUUCGGUGUGGGUUGAGCUCGCGGCCUAUCAGCUUGUUGGUGAGGUAAUUGCCUACCAAGGCGUCGACGGGUAGCCGGCCUGAGAGGGUGUACGGCCACAAUGGGACUGCGAGACGGACCAGAAUCCUACGGGAGGCAGCAGUGGGGAGUAUUGCACAAUGGGCGCAAGCCUGAUGCAGCGACGCCGCGUGGGUGAUGACGGCCUUCGGGUUGUAAACACCUUUCGCUAGGGACGAAGCGCAAGUGACGGUACCUGGAGAAGAAGCAACGGCUAACUACGUG
rnacentral:rRNA from 1 species